rnacentral:rRNA from 1 species
UCCGUAGGUGAACCUGCCUU